CACGUAGGGUGCGAGCGUUGUCCGGAAUUAUUGGGCGUAAAGAGCUCGUAGGCGGUGUGUCGCGUCGGCCGUGAAAACUCACAGCUCAACUGUGGGCGUGCGGGCGAUACGGGCAGACUGGAGUACUGCAGGGGAGACUGGAAUUCCUGGUGUAGCGGUGGAAUGCGCAGAUAUCAGGAGGAACACCGGUGGCGAAGGCGGGUCUCUGGGCAGUAACUGACGCUGAGACGCGAAAGCGUGGGGAGCAAACAGG
rnacentral:rRNA from 1 species